rnacentral:rRNA from 1 species
UACGGGGGGGGCAAGCGUUGUUCGGAAUUACUGGGCGUAAAGGGCUCGUAGGCGGCCAACUAAGUCAGACGUGAAAUCCCUCGGCUUAACCGGGGAACUGCGUCUGAUACUGGAUGGCUUGAGUUUGGGAGAGGGAUGCGGAAUUCCAGGUGUAGCGGUGAAAUGCGUAGAUAUCUGGAGGAACACCGGUGGCGAAAGCGGCAUCCUGGACCAACACUGACGCUGAUGAGCGAAAGCCAGGGGAGCAAACGGG